rnacentral:lncRNA from 1 species
CUGUAUGUUGAAGAAUGCCCACACAAGACUUGAGGAUAUCUGAGUUCUAACCAUCCAGUGUGAAAAGUCCUCAUAAGCACCAACAACAUUCAAAAGAGACAGUAGUAGAAGAGUUGUGCUUUAGUGAGAUGACUGAAAUAGUUCUGAAAUGAAAAUAACUCUACCUCCAACAAAAGUUACAAACAAGUCAGAAACAGGAGACCAGUUAUUUAGCACAGUUCUUUCUAAGGUGCAGCUUCUUAUACAUCUUUGCCUGUAGAGAUGGGAUUUCACCAUGCUGACCAGGAUGGUCUCUAUCGCUUGACCUCGUGAUCCACCCUUGGCCUCCCAAGUGCUGGAAUUAUAGGCGUGAGCCACUAUGCCCAGCCCCAGCUGAAGUUUUAUCUAUUCUUUAAAUUACAACUCAAAGAUUGCCUUCUUCAGGAAGCCUUCUUAAAUUCCCUCAGUUAAAAAGUGGUGUUUCCAACCUUUCAAUACUG